AUGGCGGCCUCCCUCUGGCUCCCUUCUCCUCCUCUUCACAGCGCCGUCUUCCUCUCGACCAACCACUCCCCCUCCCCCUCUCCUCCUUCGGCGUCUGCGUCUCCUCUGCUGCACAGGAAGCACGCACCGGCCAGAGCCAGAGGCAACCUUGCCUGCAGCUCAUCCGGUAGCUCCUCGUCCUCUGCUUCCCCUGUUGUGACCAAAGAUCAAGAGGGAGCAGCAGCAGCAGAGGCGACGUCCCCUGCCCCUGCCCCGGCGGCCGUCAGAUACGACUACAAAGAUGACCCCAACUUCAGGGGGUGCAAGGGGUGCGGCCGUGAGGAAACCGAGAGGGGCUGCAACGGCGAAGGGCGGAUCAUGGGCGGCAUAGCCGCCGUCCCCUUGUUCGGGUGGUGGCCGAUCAAGGCCUACCGGCCGUGCCCCGGCUUCGUCGCCUCCGGCGGCCGGUACCGGCGCUACGGCCAGAGCAUGGACGACGUCAUAGCCGGCAAGGGACGGAAAGUCGCCUCCGACAAGAAGAAAAGUGAAAAAUGA
rnacentral:rRNA from 1 species